rnacentral:snoRNA from 14 species
CUGCUGUGAUGAUAAACUGAACUCUCUCUUACUGAAUCUGCCUUUGAAGAUACCCCUUUACCAGAUUCUGAGUAGC